UUAUCAAGGACUUUGAUAGCGUACUCCUUCCAACUCUUUUUAUCAGUUGCUCUUCUCACCUAACGAAUAUUAGACAACUUAUUCGUCAGUAAUCGAAGGUCCAUAGGUUAAUCGACCUGCGGUUGAAAAACUUCUGAACUGAGAAGCAAUGUAUCAACUUACCUUUGAGAAUGAUCCAUCUCCUAUAAUGUCACCAAAAACGUAAUCCGCCGGAGAUUUGAUCGAUCCUAUAUGACUUGUUCCUGGUACUACGUUGGAAGACUGAGGUUUUACCGGAUUUCUUUCACCUCUAGCCUCGAAGUAAUCGGGAUCCGCAUAAUCCGGCAAUGUACUUCGGCUAAUGCGUUUAUGCUCCAGAUCCAUCAUUUAUAAAAGAGGUUUUCAUGAAAAAUGAAGUUGUGUUUGAGUUACUUUACGUUUGCUGUUCGAUUCCAACUGAAACACCGUGCAUUUAAUUGUGGAGUUGCUGGCCUUGGAGUUGUGUUCUGUGAAGGAUGUAAACACUAAGUAGAGUACCCUAUUUCUCCAAUCCUCGUCAUUAUUACAUAAAUUUAAAACGUAGAAUAUGCCAUGUAAACAAUAAAUUAAAGGUCGAAUUGUCAAAGAAAAAAUGCUCAUUAAGCAGCUUGAUAGCCUUAUCAUACCCAUCAAAGUCUUACAUCGCAUUAAUGAUACUUCGAUAUGACCUGAAGAUGGUAGUACAAAAAAAUUGCUUUGGGUGUUUAUAGCAUUAGCGAAAGCGAUACAAUUUGGAACGGCAAUGA